AGCAGGAACACCAAGGUUUUGAUACAAAGUAUCAAAACAAGGGCUGACGAGAUGGAAACGCUCCUGGAAUCCUGACAGGGAGUUUGUUGCAUCAGCGUCUCAGAGGAGUCCUGGUAGAGUCCUACCACAGAAGAUCCAGCCUUCAUUUUGAACUUGGAAACCUCCCCAUUCGCAGGCAGUGGCAAUGCCAGCAAGCCACAGGUGGGCACCGCGUGAGCAGGUAUUUAUUUUUUAGUCGGGAGGUUUAGGAGAGUUUCAGACGAAUGAGCGUCCAUGCCUUGGAAAUCCCAGAGAAGAAAAGUCAAGCAGCAUCAGGAAGAGAAACUGGCCGAGCUCUCAGCCGGCCUGCCCUGUGGUAAGGAAGCCACACUCGGGUGAGCUGCCCUCACUGCCAGGGGCGGCCGACAGACAGCAGCUUCUCUGCUGCAGAUUGAGAGAAACCUGACAUUGGCCUCUCGCACUGCACCUCAGAAGGAGGCAGGCUGCCGCGGACGCAGGGUGUGGGCGUCUGGGUAGCAUGCGAACACAGGAGACAGGGAGAGCUAUUUGGGAAGACGUGUUCGGUGGUUUCCUCUGGGCUCCUUGCUUAUUACCACCCUGAUUUUUGAGAUGGGAGCUGAAACCCACACUAGCAUAAGGAACAUCAAUGACAGGUCCCCCUCUACUCCAGCCACACCAAGCAUCCCUAACAAACUACACUACUAACCAAACCCGCCCACACCUAUAGUAAGUACAUCUUUAAAAACCCGAAUAGCUGCUGGUAGCGCAGGCUGUGGCUACAAUUCAGACCCAGCUGGAUUGAGCACAAGGUGAAGUUUGGCCGUGAAACUUUGUAUCUUCCCUUCUGGAUCAGAACAAAGGUGGAUGCCUUGACACAGACUUGGUGGCCGUUUUGAGAGCUGGCCUUGCUUCUGACCAUUCAUGUGGUCACCACGUCCUUCAGCUUACAGUGACCGUGAAACCAAAUUCAUCAUUCUUGAUGAAAAGGACAAAAACUGGGCUGAAAUGAUCUGCUAAAGGUUACAAACUGACUUGAGUAAGGAUGAAAACAUGUAGCACUUGACGAGUCCAGUUGAGUCAGGGAUUUGCAUAAGUCAGAGUCAGAAGAGUUGUCAGACUUUUGCAAUGUUUCAGGAAAGGGCAGGUGACCUUUGGCAUUUUGGACACAGAGUCUUUCUGAUGAGGUAUUUUAGGGUGGCGUGUAAGAGACUCCAGUGGUAAGUUAUGUUUUAUCGAUUGUAGGGACUCCAGGGGGAAAUAUACUAAUUUUACUUUCAAUUCUUUAAAAAGUGUGUGGAUAAGAAUUACGUGUUACUUAUAGCAGAUCUGAGUCUGGUGCAUUUUUCCAAGUUAGCUCCUUCCCUAGGCAGUGUUCCUGGGUCUCUGGAGUGGAGAGAGGUUUAGAAACUGGGAGUAGGGAGUCACGGAAAGGAAGAGAUGAGGAAAAUGCACAGGGAAAAGGGACAUGCAAAAGAAAACACAUUUAAAUUUGUUACUACGCAUGAGAUCAUAUUUCUGGCACUUUGCAGAGGUCUUAUGGAAGCUGUUAGUUCCAAUAUAGAAAUACUAGCGUGAGUAAAUUGGUGUUAAAUUUAAAUUUACUUAGGAAGUAAUAGUCUAUCUACAUUCCUUAUAAGAUUCUCUCAGGUAAAUUGGGGAAAGAGAAUUCCACGGGAGAAAAGAUGUUUCUAGUAUUUAAUCCACUGUUUCCCAGUCGAAAUGCAAUUUGUAUUUAGGAAAAUAAACAUCCAGAAGGAAACUGCACAUUUUAUUGGCUUAGUGUCUCUUAUGUUGGUAAUUUAAAGGUGGUGUUGGACUCUGUUAAGAAAAAGUAGUAGUGUUCUUAGACAGGUGUAGAAAUUAUUUAAAGGUGUACUAGAACAAAACUUGGAAAUUUCUGCUGUUCCCAUAGAUCAAUAUUUACAUUUUAAAACUUGGAAAUCCUGGAGGAUAAGCAUCUUGAAUUGUGUAACUUCCUCUUCCAGGAAGCAUCCUGGAAGUUAGCGAUACUCUGACCUCCCGCUGUGGUAUUGACAGUGACACCUGCACACCUGCAUUAAAUCUCUAUUAUUUAACUGUAUUGUGAGAGAGUUUAUAAUCAAGCGAGUCUUCUUUAGCUUCGGAAAGAAGUUGUUCUCUUUUGGCAGCAACCUUUACCUCUCGUGCUGUCUGGUGGUUACGGGCACGCGAGCAUGUGUGCAUACGGCAUAGCGUCGCCCAAGGUGUGUGGAUGCUGUUUCCUAAGGUCCAGGACACUCACCUUUCAUCGCUUCUUCUGAGUUUUAAAUCAAACGAUUUUUUUCCCCAGAUACUACAUUCCUAUGUGUUUGACAAUUUGUAGGAAGGAUUGAAAAGGCUGCAUCCCCCAAAGGUCUGUGGGGAAAGAUGAAGGAUUGUAACCCUGUCCUCUGACAUAUCUGAGGUCCAAAGCCACGUUUCCCAGUGACUUCAACGCACUUGUACUGAUCUAAAGAAAGCCUUCAUAUAGUAUUUAUAAUAA